AAGUCGUAACAAGGUCUCCGUUGGUGAACCAGCGGAGGGAUCAUUACCGAGUUUACAACUCCCAAACCCCUGUGAACAUACCGUGUUGCUUCGGCGGCCGCUCCGGCGUCCGCCGAGGGACCAAACCCUUACUUUACUUGAGAAUCUUCUGAGUAUACAAACAAAUAAAUCAAAACUUUCAACAACGGAUCUCUUGGUUCUGGCAUCGAUGAAGAACGCAGCGAAAUGCGAUAAGUAAUGUGAAUUGCAGAAUUCAGUGAAUCAUCGAAUCUUUGAACGCACAUUGCGCCCGCCAGCAUUCUGGCGGGCAUGCCUGUUCGAGCGUCAUUUCAACCCUCGCGCCCAUCUGGGAGCGGUGUUGGGGACCGGCCUGCCUCACGGCGCGCCGCCCCCCAAAAUCAGUGGCGGUCUCGCUGCAGCCUCUCUUGCGUAGUAGCACACUCGCAUUGGAGCGCGGCGCGGCCACGCCGUAAAACCCCAACUUUUAGAGUUUGACCUCGGAUCAGGUAGGAAUACCCGCUGAACUUAA
rnacentral:rRNA from 1 species